CAAUGGCUCACAUUCUCUACUUGUCGGCGGUUUCUUCUAGUUAAUCACUGUCUUUGGAGUGUUCAAAUUUGAGAAACAAUCUAUUUAGCUAAGUGUAUAGAAACCAACACAUGUACAUUGAUGCAUUUGGCAUCCAAAGUCCCCCUAUCUAGCUAAUUAGUAUUUGCUUCACUUUUGAGUUUCAUCCAAAUAUUUUCUUUGUGAAGGACCAUAGAAUGGAAGAUUACUGUGGCAUGACUUGAAGAAAUGCGAUUUCUAUCAUCUAAUGGCAACUCCAAAGUCCUUUCACUUAUCAUCUAAGUCUUGUCAUCCAACAAUAUGAUUUAAGCAUUUGAAAUGAUGGCAAUUGCUGUGGUAGGGAACAACCUCAUAUGUUUGUCUUUUCAGCCUUUAGACCUUUACUGCAUGUCUGUCUUCAAUUAGUUGGGUUUCCGGUGGUGCUGUGUAGCUUAUAAUUUUCUACUAUCAUUUCGAAUUAUCUGCCAUAGUGUUCUUGCACCUGCAAGUUAUGACAAAAAUCUGGAUUGCAUGUGUUCAUCUGAAGAAGUCUUCCAAGUCAAAGCCUAAACAAUUUGGGAUAUAAGAUUUUUUGCUUUGUUAUGAAAAUGUUGUGCAUUAGUGAUGUAUAAUUUCCAUUAUUGGUUGAUAUUAACGAGAUGGUUGUUCAUUAGUUUGACAGGUUUCCUUUGUUUGUGCAGCUAUGACUUAAAUAGUACCUAACCAUCCCAUUUUAUAGGCUAUUUGUUGGAUGAUUAGAAUAUUUGAUUUGUGUGUUUUUGAAGUGUGGUCCAUUGUAGCGAAAUGACACACUGUAUAGAUGGAGUACAAAAGCCUUGUGAGCAUACAAGUUUGGAUGUUAAAUCAUUAUUUGGAUGCUCAUUUCAGGUUUUGGUUUGUAUCAGCAUACAGGUUUGAAAUGAUUGUUUUGGUUGUUCAUUAUAGAUUUCACAUUUACAUAUGUAUACUGAAUUUUUUAUUUUUGCUACUCAUUUUAGGUUACGGUUUUUAACAUCUUACAUGUUUGAGCUCGGAUGAUAAUUGUUUAUUUUGCGUACUCAUUUCAGGUUUUAGUUUAUAACAACUUAAAGAUUUAGCUUAAUCAUCACAGGUCCCAAGGCAGAAUUCAUGGGUUGUGGCCGCGAGCAUGUUGUAAAUUUUAAGUGGUCAAGUAUGGAAGUUCUUGUUCAUCAGACUGAUGCCCAUGCCUCUGAAAGAUUUGGAUUUUAGAUACAUGGAAAAUGUUUGUAUAUGUCUGGACGCUGAUAGCAUAGUAGUUAGAAUUUACAAACCAAGUCAGUUUGCUUUGCCCCCAAACUUUGUAAUGCCCUUUUGUUAAAUCUAUCUUACAGGUGAAAACUAUGAAAAAGAUUGUGCUGAGGCUUCAAUGCCAGAGCUGCAAACAUGUCUCCCAACACCCAAUUA